ACAUAUCAUGUUGAAAUACUGGUCUUCGUAUGAUCACCAAAGUUAAGCAAUGUUGAGCCUGGUCACUACCUGGAUGGGUGACCUCUUAAGAAUAUCAGGUGCUGUAAG